UACGAAGGGGGCUAGCGUUGCUCGGAAUCACUGGGCGUAAAGCGCACGUAGGCGGAUUGCUAAGUCAGGGGUGAAAUCCUGGAGCUCAACUCCAGAACUGCCUUUGAUACUGGCGAUCUUGAGUCCGGGAGAGGUGAGUGGAACUGCGAGUGUAGAGGUGAAAUUCGUAGAUAUUCGCAAGAACACCAGUGGCGAAGGCGGCUCACUGGCCCGGUACUGACGCUGAGGUGCGAAGCGUGGGGAGCACACAGG
rnacentral:rRNA from 1 species